GAUUCUCCGAAGAUCUGUGUGUGUGUGUGGUGUUUGUCUUACCUCUCUCAGCGAUUCUCCGAAAUCUGUGUGUGUGUGUGUGUGUGUGUGUGUGUGUGUGGUGUGGUGUCUUACCUCUCUCCAGCGAUUCUCCGAAGAUCCGUGUGUGUGUGUGUGUGUGUGUUGUCUUACCUCUCUCCAGCGAUUCUCCGAAGAUCCGUGUGUUGUGUGUGUGUGUGUGUGUGUCUUACUCUCUCCAGCGAUUCUCCGAAGAUCUGUUGUGUGUGUGUCUCUUACCUCUCUCCAGCGAUUCUCCGAAGAUCCGUGUGUGUGUGUGUGUGUCUUACCUCUCUCCAGCGAUUCUCCGAAGAUCCGUGUGUGUGUGUGUGUGUUGUCUUACCUCUCUCCAGCGAUUCUCCGAAGAUCUGUGUGUGUGUGUGUGUCUCUUACCUCUCUCCAGCGAUUCUCCGAAGAUCCGUGUGUGUGUGGUGUGUGUGUCUUACCUCUCUCCAGCGAUUCUCCGAAGAUCCGUGUGUGUGUGUGUGUCUUACCUCUCUCCAGCGAUUCUCCGAAGAUCCGUGUGUGUGUGUGUGUGUGUGUCUUACCUCUCUCCAGCGAUUCUCCGAAGAUCUGUGUGUGUGUGUGUGUGUGUGUCUUACCUCUCUCCAGCGAUUCUCCGAAGAUCAGUGUGUGUGUGUGUGUGUCUUACCUCUCUCCAGCGAUUCUCCGAAGAUCCGUGUGUGUGUGUGUGUGUGUGUCUUACCUCUCUCCAGCGAUUCUCCGAAGAUCUGUGUUGUGUGUGUGUCUUACCUCUCUCCAGCGAUUCUCCGAAGAUCUGUGUGUGUGUGUGUGUGUCUUACCUCUCUCCAGCGAUUCUCCGAAGAUCCGUGUGUGUGUGUGUGUGUGUGUGUGUGUCUUACCUCUCUCCAGCGAUUCUCCGAAGGUGUGUGUGUGUGUGUGUGUGUCUUACCUCUCUCCAGCGAUUCUCCGAAGAGAUCUGUGUGUGUGUGUGUGUGUCUUACCUCUCUCCAGCGAUUCUCCGAAGAUCCGUGUGUGUGUGUUGUGUGUGUCUUACCUCUCUCCAGCGAUUCUCCGAAGGUGUGUGUGUGUGUGUCUUACCUCUCUCCAGCGAUUCUCCGAAGAUCCGGUGUGUGUGUGUGUGUGUGUGUCUUACCUCUCUCCAGCGAUUCUCCGAAGAUCUGUGUGUGUGUGUGUGUGUGUGUGUGUCUUACCUCUCUCCAGCGAUUCUCCGAAGAUCCGUGUGUGUGUGU
rnacentral:lncRNA from 1 species